GCAUGCUGGUCCAGCGGUUCUGGCUGUGGAAGGACGUGCGCGUGGAGCGCAGUUCCUGUUUAUUAAUUAAAGUUUCCAACUGAUUUACGCACGAGUUUAUUGCUGCUCCUGUCACCCAUGAGCGCGUGCGAAGGAGGAGAUUAAAGCGCAAUGGCAUUUGUUAGACGCAGCACUUAAUUUAGAAGGAUACAAUCAAACCAAGAGGAGUUCUCACUGCUAAUCAUUAACUUUUACAGAAUACUUCCUCAGGUGUUUAUAGAAUGAGCUUCUCAAGAUAGUGUUUUAUGCACAAGUGUUUUACGCACAGGACAUUCAUUAUGCAUGCCCAUUAUGGUCCGACAGAAUAACGCUUGUCAUGAGCCUAUAAUUCCAGUUUAAUCUUUAAAAUAAUAUUUCCACAAGAUAUUAAAGACAGCCCAAAUCACACUUUUUGUUCCUACACAGGGAAAUCAUGUACUCAUGUUUGCAACUUAAAACAUUUUUACAUUUUCUCAAAGAAGUAAAUGUGUCCCAACGCACUACAGACUCAUACUCCCAGUUCUUAAGAAUCUCAUCAGGUCCUCUCUGAGAUGAAAAAGCUCUAUCUGCAUAUCUGAAAGAUAACUUAGCUGCUGCGUAAUUGUAUUUGCCAUUAGACGACUGCGUCCCAGUCUUUUUAUUGGUUUGAAAUUCCAUUAAAUAUAUUGCUCGAGCUACCAGGUUAAGCUUGAUUUAAAUUUGCAUACAUUUUCAUACAUUUAGGAGAAAUAAAAGAAGGCUGCAGCCACCAGAAAGUCAUUAAAGAGCGCUGAGCCGAGGAGCUGCUUGUGGAGACAGGGACAGAGAGGACGCCGGAGCAGGUGCUGUUUGCAGAAGAGGCUAGUAUAUUGUCCCUGGGUCAGCAAAUGAGCCAUGGUUGGUCAAAAUCUACAUAACAUUACCAUCUGUUAAACUUCAAACUCCUCAAACACACACACACACACACACACACACACACACAAAGUAUCCUAUAAACAGAGAGCAGUGAAGAAGAGUAGAGAGUCCAGAGAAGUGUAAUGUAUGAUCUCCAGCUCGUCUUCAACAUCCUCCUUCUUCUUCUCCUCUUCUGUGCUGAGAGCAGAGAAGAGCUCGGCGUUGAGGCCUCUGCUGGCACCAACGAGGAAGAGAAGUACUCGGGAGCAGAAAGAGGACAGACUUGUUGUGUGCUAAAAAUCACUCUUUUCUGUCAAUGUUUAAUGAACAACCCGUGUGAAUUUCAUGUGGAAUAUCAGCAAGCUACUGUGCCACAGCUAAAAAAAAAAAAAAAAAAAACCUACGUACUGUCCCCCUGUGGCCCACAAACCCACAGACACACACACACACACACACACACACACACACACACACACACACUCUCUCAUGUACGCACACACAGGCCCGUCUGAAGGAGAAGGCGGAGCCGGCAGUUGCACAUCUGCAUUUCAAACACAGACUCUCUGGGAUUCAUUAUUAAUUAGCCUGCUGAGCCCUGGAGGACUGGUGAUGCUGCCGUCACACACACACACGCGCACACGCACGCACACACACACACACACACACACACACACACACACACACACACACACACACACACUCACACACACACACACACACACACACACCUCGUGACCCCUUUGCCCCCUCUGCUCUACAGUUAGAGAGUCCUCACCAGAAUACUGAGCUGUACAGGAGCUUCCCUCCCUCCAAUCACAUGCCUUCCCCUGAUUUCCCCGCUUAAUGUAUGUUAAAGGAUGAUGAAUUACAGGAGUUGAUGGUUUUAUUAAGCUGAGCGCAGUGUAACUGUGUUUAAAAUACCAUAUUCACUUGAGUUGUUUAGCGCCGCACACUGCUAAAUGAAAUAUAUGAGAAGAUGAGAGAAGCCUGAAGAGCUGUACUGGUUCUUAUAUCACACCAAUAAACAUUACAAAACUCC